rnacentral:misc_RNA from 1 species
AAAGUCGUAACAAGGUUUCCGUAGGUGAACCUGCGGAAGGAUCAUUAUCGAUUCAAAAAGGAUGUGCUGGCCGCAAGGCAUAAGUGCACUCCGAAUCCCACAUCUCCCUGUGCACUUACUGUGGGCGGAAAUGGGGCUUUUGUCCCAAUUCGCUCAUGUUUUUUUUACACACUCUUUAUCACAUAUCAUGAAUGUAUACAAAGUAGGCUUUGUUUCAAAGCUGAAAAUAAAACAAUACAACUUUCAACAAUGGAUCUCUUGGUUCUC